GCUGGAGAUCUUUGCCUACAUGAUGCCUUCUGAAGACAUCACAGGCUGUUUCCCAGUACAGAGAGCAAGGCAUUUUCCUUAUAACACUUGUUGAGAAGAGAAUCAGUGUUUGGGUUUCUAAAAUGGACAUGACUAUGUGACCAGGAUUCAUGACAUCAUGCACGGCAAGAGACUGUAACCAGUUGUGCACAAUGCAUCCAGUUUCUUCCCUUCUCUGUUCCAAAUGUGCUUGGAUUUAUUAAAGUGCAGAAGACUUUGAAAAAUAUGAUGUUAUGGGCUUGCCAAAAUAAACCACCAGCAAUAAUGAAGCAAUAAUGUAUUUAACAAAGUGACAUGGAAAAGACUAGCUUCAAAAUCUAUCUGCUGUGCUGCUAUCUAUGUUUUACUCUCUGCAGCUGCAUAAACCAGAAUCCUGUGUAUUUUUUGAGUACUGCAAUGCCACA